GACGAACGCUGGCGGCGUGCUUAACACAUGCAAGUCGAACGGAAAGGCCCUGCUUUUGUGGGGUGCUCGAGUGGCGAACGGGUGAGUAACACGUGAGUAACCUGCCCUUGACUUUGGGAUAACUUCAGGAAACUGGGGCUAAUACCGGAUAGGAGCUCCUGCUGCAUGGUGGGGGGUGGAAAGUUUCGGCGGUUGGGGAUGGACUCGCAGCUUAUCAGCUUGUUGGUGGGGUAGUGGCUUACCAAGGCUUUGACGGGUAGCCGGCCUGGGAGGGUGACCGGCCACAUGGCGACUGAGAUACGGCCCAGACUCCUACGGGAGGCAGCAGUGGGGAAUAGUGCAAAAUGGGCGGAAGCCUGAUGCAGCAACGCCGGGUGCGGGAUGACGGCCGUCGGGUUGUAAACCGCUUUCGCCUGUGACGAAGCGUGAGUGACGGUAAUGGGUAAAGAAGCACCGGCUAACUACGUG
rnacentral:rRNA from 1 species